CCUACGGGAGACAGCAGUGAGGAAUAUUGGUCAAUGGGCGUAAGCCUGAACCAGCCAAGUCGCGUGAGGGGUGAAGGUUCUAUGGAUCGUAAACCUCUUUUAUCAGGGAAUAAAGUGCGGGACGUGUCCCGUUUUGUAUGUACCUUAUUAAUAAGGAUCGGCUAACUCCGUUCCAGCAGCCGCGGUAAUACGGAGGAUCCGAGCGUUAUCCGGAUUGAUUGGGUUUAAAGGGUGCGUAGGCGGCCUUUUAAGUCAGCGUUGAAAGUCUGUGGCUCAACCAUAGAAUUGCCGUUGAAACUGGGAGGCUUGAGUAUGUUUGAGGCAGGCGGAAUGCGUGGUGUAGCGGUGAAAUGCUUAGAUAUCACGCAGAACCCCGAUUGCGAAGGCAGCCGGCCAAGCCAUGACUGACGCUGAUGCACGAAAGCGUGGGGAUCAAACAGGAUUAGAUACCCUGGUAGUC
rnacentral:rRNA from 1 species